rnacentral:lncRNA from 1 species
ACAAUCAUAGAUGGUGCCCAAGACGAUAUAUUUAUAUGUGAACCUCUCUUUCUUUAUCACUUCCUAUUAAUUGCAACAAUGACCAAGGUCUACGUUUGUCCACCCACAACAAGUUUCAAUCAACAUUCUUUUUAUAUGUGAAGUCAUCACUUCCCAUCAGAUCAUUACAUCAUCUUUCAUGCUAUUGUUCUUUUAUUAUUAUUUUCUUUAGGUCAUGGCAUGAGGCAAGGCCCUUAACUAAAACACUCUUUAUUAUAUGACUCACGAACUCGAUUGCAUUGGGGAUGACACAAAGCAAAACUCAAGCCUAGAACAAAC